GAUCUAUAGCUCUUGGCUCUUCAUAGACCUUCUUUUUGAGCUCAACUAACCUCCCACUAUCACCCUCUUAGAUAAACUAUUUUUUUUAGAAAUAUGAUGUUCCGACUCACAAUCACAUUAUGGUCUCAUGAAAAGAAGUAGUAUCCCAUAGAUUCUUUAGGAUACCCUAUAAAAUAAGCUAUAAUAGAUCUAUCCUCUAACUUAUCCACCAUCUAUCUCUUGACA
rnacentral:lncRNA from 1 species